CGUUAACAGAAAUAUCGUAUCCUCAUUCAUGAUUUAAUAAUGAGUUUACUUUGAUUAUUUUGUCACCUUAUACGAAUUAUACUUUUCAAUAUCACUGUUUUACUAAAUACAUACAUAUGUAACUAUUUUUAAUCAGUUGCAUUUACUCCCACUGGUGACAGGCACACUACAACAAGCAAAUCUUUACUUUUUAUCAUCUGCGGUCAUAAUUCUUUAAUGGAUGAAAAUGGGUAACCCACUGUGGUUUGUCUUUUGGCUCUUAAUUAUGCUUUGGUUUUCGUUUUGUGUGGCCUUAAUUGGUUCUUUUUUCUACGUGUGGACAUACAUGUUUUCUCAAUGUAGUAAUUGCUUCCGGGGCAUGGCUGAUUUCUUUCUAAAGUGUGUCCAAUUUCCAGGAUAUUGUAUUGCAGCUAUGAUAAACUGUCAGCCAAUUUUCUAAACCUAAAUUGCUUUGAGAUGAAAAAUCCAGUGGAGUGCGAAUACAAAUAUGUUUAUGCGGAAAUAAGUUAAGCGAUUAAUAGUCCAAUAUAUUUUAAUUAUUUUCAACAAGCAAAUCUCCAUUAUCGCAUUAAAGGAAAAUCAAUUUUGGCUUAGAGAUUUGAUUUUGCUAAAUUAUUUUUAAAAAUGUGCUGAUGACAAUUUCCAUUGAAGCUGUGAAAUUGCUGAUGCAGUCUAAAACCGGUGAAUAUCCAUCACCAAAAAUGAGAACGGACAAUUCAACAAGCUUAACUUUUGUUAUAUUUUUUAUCAACAGGUUGAAAGUAAAGAAGGAAGUAUAUAGUAAAUA